rnacentral:tRNA from 1 species
GGCCGCUUGGUCUAGUGGCAUGAUUCUCCAUUCGGGUUGGAGAGGUUGUGGGUUCGAUUCCCGCAGCGGCCC